AACAGCUAUCAGCUAGAACAGAAAGCUAUGAAAAUGUUCUUCCAAUUUUCUCUACUUAGGAGACUGUGCUGGGAGAAGUUUUCGGAACAACCUUUCAUUCUUCCAAUGCUAGGUUCAAGAAAUCCUGCUAAUAUUAUGUUUUCAUUGAAAUAGUAUUGUAGGGCUGAAGUCAAUAAGCAAAGAUGUAGUGUUGAAAGUCACCCUCUUUUUUUUUCCUCUUGUUUUCACACAUUUUCCUCUUUCUUGGCAUUGCCUAGAUUUAUUCUCCUCUUCUCCCUUUUAGAAACAGAAUUUGGCAUAAAUAAAUGAUAACUGAGAAAAUGGCAUACACGGACAAGUAAAUGCAAGAUUUCUCCAGCCUCCCGGGCACCUGCCAUUUGCUGCAGAGGACGCAGCUGAAGAUAAGGACUAC
rnacentral:lncRNA from 1 species